rnacentral:rRNA from 1 species
UGAGGAAUAUUGGUCAAUGGUCGAGAGACUGAACCAGCCAAGUCGCGUGAAGGAUGACUGCCCUAUGGGUUGUAAACUUCUUUUACAAGGGAAUAAAAUGUGAUACGUGUAUUUUAUUGCAUGUACCUUGUGAAUAAGCAUCGGCUAACUCCGUGCCAGCAGCCGCGGUAAUACGGAGGAUGCGAGCGUUAUCCGGAUUUAUUGGGUUUAAAGGGUGCGUAGGUGGGCUGUUAAGUCAGCGGUGAAAGUUUGUCGCUUAACGAUAAAAUUGCCGUUGAAACUGGUAGUCUUGAGUAUAGAUGAAGUAGGCGGAAUGCGUGGUGUAGCGGUGAAAUGCAUAGAGAUCACGCAGAACUCCGAUUGCGAAGGCAGCUUACUAAGGUAUAACUGACACUGAAGCACGAAAGCGUGGGUAUCAAACAGG